CUCGAAAGACCUCACAGUCAAGACGUCUCUUCUCUUGAUGGCACAACUCGCUUGAUGUUGGCACAUUGAACUUUUGAAAGACGUUAGGCUACAGGUUACUUAAACCGAAAGACGUUCCGAGAUCAGGGAGUUCCAUUUGAGCUUUCAAAGCAACAGAGAUUAAGAGUCAUAAGGACAGUCUUUUUAGUCACCGUUCGUUACGCGCUGCUGGGUUUUUUUUUUGCAGUGGCCAUAACUCGCCUUGUACUCUCGGAUUCCCUGCCGGAUCAUGAAGCUCCGUCGACGGCCGAGACUUGCAGCACUACGCGCGCGCAUGGAUUUUCUGUCACGCGGAGUUUUGAGAGACUUUCCCCAUUAGUCAGAUGGCGUCCAGACGGCCUCUGCUGUGGCUCCUGUUGCUUCUUCUGGCAGUUGGAGCGACACUGUGUCACGGUUCCUUGAAUGCUCCCUCUGUCCUCUAUUGUGUCUUCAUGCAGCAUGCUAACGCUACAUGCUACUGGACGCCCUCAGGAGACGGCAGCAGCAACAUCACCUACACACUGACCGUCAACACGACUGCAAAGCUUCGUCAGUGUAACAGCACACACAGAAACGGCUCCCUCUCCUCUCCCCUGUGAGUCCC